rnacentral:rRNA from 1 species
UACGUAGGGUCCGAGCGUUGUCCGGAAUUAUUGGGCGUAAAGGGCUCGUAGGCGGUCUGUUGCGUCGGGAGUGAAAACUUACAGCUUAACUGUGAGCGUGCUUUCGAUACGGGCAGACUUGAGGCAUUCAGGGGAGAACGGAAUUCCUGGUGUAGCGGUGAAAUGCGCAGAUAUCAGGAGGAACACCGGUGGCGAAGGCGGAUUUCUGGACCAGUUCUGACACUGAUGAGCGAAAGCCAGGGGAGCAAACAGG